AUAGUUGCCUGGAAGGGGAGAUACCAUGAUCAUGAAGGGGGUUUCCUAGGGAGAGGCUCAUCCUUUGCACUGUAGGUGUGCUGACCCCUGUGAUUUCCCCAAAUGUGGGAAACUCUACCAUGUGAUUUGUGGCACUGGGGACUGCAUUCAUGCUUUCUCCUA
ensembl:snRNA U1 U1 spliceosomal RNA